rnacentral:rRNA from 1 species
UACGUAGGGUGCAAGCGUUGUCCGGAAUUAUUGGGCGUAAAGAGCUCGUAGGCGGUCUGUCGCGUCGGCCGUGAAAACCUGCAGCUUAACUGUGGGCUUGCGGUCGAUACGGGCAUCACUGGAGUUCGGCAGGGGAGACUGGAAUUCCUGGUGUAGCGGUGAAAUGCGCAGAUAUCAGGAGGAACACCGAUGGCGAAGGCAGGUCUCUGGGCAUUAACUGACGCUGAUGCGCGAAAGCGUGGGGAGCAAACGGG